rnacentral:rRNA from 1 species
CCCUUAGAUGCUCUGGGCCACACGCGCGCUACACUGGUCGAUGCAACGAGUUUCUUUCCUUGGCCGACAGGCCUGGGCAAUCUUUGAACAUCGAUCGUGAUCGGGAUAGAUUCUUGUAAUUUUUGAUCUUAAACGAGGAAUUCCUAGUAAACGCAAGUCAUCAGCUUGCAUUGAUUACGUCCCUGCCCUUUGUACACACCGCCCGUCGCACCUACCGAUUGAAUGGUCCGGUGAAAUCUCCGGACUGGCGUGAGUCGGAGCAAUCUGACAAACACCGGAAAGUUGAUUAAACCUUACCAUUUAGAGGAAGGUGAAGUCGUAACA